AAAUGUACAUUUUACAACACUGACCGAAAAGAACGUCAAAAUAAAAAGCGAUUGACCCUGCCCCCGAAUGUGUAUACAUUGUAUUCUAGAGGUGUGUGUGUGUGUGUGUUUUAAAUGUGUGUAGGCUAUAACGGCUUUAAAGCAGUAAUCCCCUGCACAUUUGCAGUUCACAAUUAAGGAAUUUACAUAUUCACAAUUUUUAUUUUUUUUAGCUCUUGCUGAACAAGAUGAUGCAUUGGUGUUAGUCGCGGAAAGAAUUCGUU